CACUUAUGUUUUUACAGAUCUAUCCAGGUUGCUGUUUGUACCUCCAGGCUGUUGCCUCUAAUUGCUGUAUCCGCCACAUUUAUCCAUCCCCCAGCGAUGGAGGCCUAUGUUGCUUCUAAACCUCCUCCCUCUCCCCUACCACAAACAGCACCGAAGCAGAGAUGCUGCCCUCUCCUUCCAGAUCUGCGUGACUAUUUCUCUUGGAUCGACAUCCAGGAGGGGACUUCAGAGCAUCUGGGCCUCCGGCCCACCCAGCCAUUGAUUCCCAAAUCUCCAGUCGGGCUUCCUGGAGUUGGCCAUAUUCCCCUGCUGGCAUCUGGACUUCCCACGGCCAAACGCCCACCUCCCAGGCCAGCCUCUGUGCUGCAGAGCGAGGCGGGUGGGGCGUUCAGGCUCUGGAGUCAUACAGUCGUGGGCACAAGCCUGACCUUGCUGCUUCCAGGCUGUGACCUUCAUGUGUCCAAGCCUCGGCGUCCUCAUCUGCAAGAUGCUGAUGAUCCUACCCACCUUAUAAGGCGCCCUGAAGAUGAGAUGAGCUGGUAGUUGCAAAGCGCUCUAGCCAGCGCCCGGCAGAUGCAAAGAAUUCAGUGGACGGGAAUUUCAAAAAGCAGCUCAGGGGAUCCUGGGAUGCAGGCGAGUUAGGAGAAAUCUAACAAUCGAUAAAUAUUCCUUGGGUCUACUGUGUGCCAGGCUCUGUGCCAGGUACCACAACGCCUGGGGCUGCGUCCCACUUGCGCGGAUCGAGCAUCUAGAGAGGAAGCGGAGGGGCGGGGCUUAGACAGGCUGGGCAAGGGGCUUCCUCUCCAGCCUCCAGCGUGGGAGGUGAUUUUUAAAUGUUUGUUUGCCAAACAUUUACUGAGUUGCAAAUAUUGGAACCCUCCAUGGCUAGUUUAAGCAGAAAAGGGAUUUAUUAAACUCCACGAGGUAAAUGCACAGAGUCCUUGGGAGGGCGGGAGAAAGACCGGGGGCGAGGUUUUCCGGAGAAACUCUCAGAACCCCGCUGGCUCGAGGGGGUGUUAUUGCCGCUGCAGCAGCUGCCGCGGAGCUGGAAGCCAGGAGCCGACUUCACUGCAGCCGCGGUCUCUUCUGCCACCGGAAGUUGACCUUGUAACUGAGGCCACCCAGAAAGCUGGACCACAAAACAGAAGGCUGUGCCUGCUUUUGCCGGAGGUUCAGUUCGGAAUCAGGAACUCCACAUUGCGUGUGUGCGUCCUCGCUGCGAGAGGGCCUGGGAAUUGACUUCUGAAAUCUACUUGGGAAGGCAAAACUCAGGGGGAGCUUUCCUAAAUGAAAAGCUUUUCAAAGGGCCAUGGGCAGUCACCAAUUUGGCAUGUGUCCCCAUGCCCCUACUCAAAGCACAAUGUGGGGGCGUGUCCAGGGGUCAGAUCCAGCUCUUAGAGAUGCUCACUGUCUAGCAGGGUAGAUGGACAGCCAUAUAAGUGACACUGCAGGAGAAUGGAGGGGCUUACAGGAGAAUGGACCAUCCACCAUCCACUGAACCUUUGUACCUGGCUCCAGGGGCCCAGUUGGUCUGAGAGAGGUGAUGCCAAACAGUAGAAAGAGGAAGGUCAGCCAACCUGGGGUCAAGUCCCAACUCUUCCCCUGACCACCCGUAUGACUUCUCUGAGCCUCAGUUUCUUCACAUGUAAAACGAGGACAGUCACACCCACCAUAUAAGGGCUGGUGUUGACAUUAAAGAUAAUGGACGUGAACUAUUUGGUAUAGUAGAUGCCCAAUAGGAGGUAGUUAUUUUAUAGUUAUUGGUGUGAACAUGAUGAGAGAGGGUUCUUUUGGUGGGAACCUUGAUGCAAAAUGCUUUCAAGAGGUAGAGGAGGGGUUGGGAGAGACAGGAGGGCCCAGGACCCAUCUGCCUUGGGGACAAAGACACCCUUGGGACUAACAGAACAAACUUUCAUUUGUGAAGCUUCAACUUCGAUGAUCGUGAAAUAAAAAGAUACCAAGACAGCCCUCUCCCCUGACU
rnacentral:lncRNA from 1 species